rnacentral:siRNA from 1 species
AGCACACUCUCUUUCUUCACUUGC